UACGUAGGUCGCAAGCGUUGUCCGGAUUUACUGGGCGUAAAGAAGCGCGCAGGCGCUGGUCAAGUCCGAUGUGAAAUCUCCCGGCUUAACUGGGAAACUGCAUCGGAAACUGAUCGGCUUGAAGGUGGGAGAGGGUAGUGGAAUUCCCGGUGUAGUGGUGAAAUGCGUAGAUAUCAAGUGGAACACCAGUGGCGAAGGCGAGUCCCUGGACAAUACCUGACACUGAGGCACGAAAGCUAGGGGAGCAAACAGG
rnacentral:rRNA from 1 species